UCCAAAUUUUAUUCUAUUCCUGUUCACAUGUGCCUGCCUGGAGUGUUUGUGUUGAAAUUGUUGCAUGAAACAUGACACUAUGCAGACUGCAGUUCGGCCAGUUCCUGACUUGACGAAAUAAAUUAACAGCAAAAUUAUGUACAUCCAUGUUGUCCAAUAUGUCUUUUGCCUGAACGUUGUCACUCACAAAUACCACUUUCACCAAAUUCUUCAAAUAUGACCUUGUUUAAU